AGUUGGUUAGAGCACCGGAUUGUGAUUCCGGGGGUCGGGGGUUCAAGUCCCCUCUAUCACCCCA
rnacentral:tRNA from 1 species